rnacentral:rRNA from 1 species
UACAGAGGGUGCGAGCGUUAAUCGGAUUUACUGGGCGUAAAGGGCGCGUAGGCGGAUGAAUGGGUGUGAUGUGAAAGCCCUGGGCUUAACCUGGGAAGUGCAUCGCAAACUGUUUAUCUGGAGUAGAUGAGAGGGUGGCGGAAUUUCCGGUGUAGCGGUGAAAUGCGUAGAGAUCGGAAGGAACGUCGAUGGCGAAGGCAGCCACCUGGCAUCAUACUGACGCUGAGGCGCGAAAGCGUGGGGAGCGAACAGG